GAUGAACGCUGGCGGCGUGCCUAAUACAUGCAAGUCGAGCGAACGGACGAGAAGCUUGCUUCUCUGAUGUUAGCGGCGGACGGGUGAGUAACACGUGGAUAACCUACCUAUAAGACUGGGAUAACUUCGGGAAACCGGAGCUAAUACCGGAUAAUAUUUUGAACCGCAUGGUUCAAAAGUGAAAGACGGUCUUGCUGUCACUUAUAGAUGGAUCCGCGCUGCAUUAGCUAGUUGGUAAGGUAACGGCUUACCAAGGCAACGAUGCAUAGCCGACCUGAGAGGGUGAGCGGCCACACUGGAACUGAGACACGGUCCAAACUCCUACGGGAGGCAGCAGUAGGGAAUCUUCCGCAAUGGGCGAAAGCCUGACGGAGCAACGCCGCGUGAGUGAUGAAGGUCUUCGGAUCGUAAAACUCUGUUAUUAGGGAAGAACAUAUGUGUAAGUAACUGUGCACAUCUUGACGGUACCUAAUCAGAAAGCCACGGCUAACUACGUG
rnacentral:rRNA from 1 species